GACGAACCGUGCGAACGUUAUUCGGAAUCACUGGGCUUAAAGCGCGUGUAGGCGGGUCGGUACGUCGGACGCUGAAAUCCCCCGGCUCAACCGGGGAACGGGCGCCGAAACGGCUGGCCUGGAGGGGGGUAGGGGAAUCGGGAACUUCCGGUGGAGCGGUGAAAUGCGUUGAGAUCGGAAGGAACGCCCGUGGCGAAAGCGCGAUUCUGGACCCUUUCUGACGCUGAGACGCGAAAGCCAGGGGAGCGAACGGG
rnacentral:rRNA from 1 species